AACACUUCCGGUAAAAACAAUGGCGGAUUCCACCAUUCAAAAUCGUCUUGGAAAAUGUGAAGGUCAGGAUUAUUACAGUGCGAUCACUUAAAAGGUAGGUCAGUAGUGGUUUUUCUUUUGGCGAUUUAUGAAUGGAAUGUGAAAAACUAUAUCAUGAGUGAACGUGGUUGAUAGUUUAGAUUAUUUUUACUGAUAACCGCUACGAAUUUCAGCUGACGGCGACUAUAACUAUAUUUAUCUACGUUCAUCAUUGGGUAAAUUGCAACUGCAUACAUGAAACAUCCAAUUGACCCGACAAAGGCACCCCAAAAUGCUAUCAGACGCCAUCCCGUCAUCGAAACUGUCAUAGGUUGUCGAAACAUUUCUUUUGGUGUUAUUUUUCAACCUCGUGUAAUAUUUGUCUUUG
rnacentral:lncRNA from 1 species